GAGAUGGGGUCUUGCUUUGGUACACAGGCUAGAGUGCAGUGAUCAUGACCAUAGCUCACUACAGCCUCAAACUCUUGGGCUCUAGCAAUCAUCUCUCCUCAGCCUCCCAAAGAGCUGGGACUACAGGCAUGCACCGAAGCUUUAUUUUCAAAAUAUAAUUUGUGCUGAUGCUGGUGCUUUUGAUGUUCGUGUGUACAUUGUCCCUGACAUCCAUGCCACAAGCGCUGCGUGGCUAACAGCAAUUUUGAUAUGCCAUCAAUUGAAAUAUACAUUCCGAUUUCAGAAAUGUUAAAAUGUGAACAAAUGUACACCUCAGAAUUGAUGAAAUAUUGUGAUACUUUACAUAUAAAAAUAUAAAAGGUAUUUUUAUGCUUUCUUCUGCUCUCCCUUGGACAGACCUUUUUUCUGUACUAUUUCUCUUUCCUUUCCUGCCUUUCAGUAGAUUGAUCAGUUUUCUUUAGUCUCCUUUACUGGACCGGAAGUUACUCAUUUUAUUUUUAUUCUUUUUUCAGUGACCUUUAAAUUUUUAACAUCCAUAUUUGACUUGGCAAGUCUAAUCAAUAUCUCUAUUGGCCUCUUUAAUAAUUCACCAAAUUGAUUGCUUUGACUCUACUCCCUUCUCAUCUUAUAUAUUUUUGUUUCCUGAUAUCAUAGUUUCAACUUGUUUUUAAUCAUCCAAGCUGGUCAUCAUUAUUAUUAUUGUUCUGAUUUUUUUAUGAUCAGUACUUACUCAGAUUUACCCAUAUGUCUAAUAAUGUUCUUUCUUAAGUUUACUUUGUAUAUUUCACUUCAUUCUUCUGAGUUCACUUUCCUUCUUCCUGAGAUUCAUCUUUUAGCCUGAAAAUGUCUGUACGAUGCCCUCACUCUUAAAUGAUAGCUUCAAUGGAUAUAGAAUUCUUGCAGGAGGGGAGCCGGGGGAGGCUACAUGGUUUCUGAUACUAGGUGUGUAGCAUAGAUCAGGUUCUAAACCUUCCCAUGUCCUUGGUUUUAAAAUAAGCUCAUUAUUGUUGUCCCCUGAUCAGGUUAGGAGGCAGGGAUUUUCUCAUUCUCUGUUCACUGAGAUCGAAGCCUUUCCAUGGUUCUGCUUAAUUCCACAUGUCAGUCCCACUUGACAAGUGUAAUGGGCCCACUUCCUUGCCUUCCAUCACUGUUCAACCCUCUGCCUUUAGGCCCCUCUUUCUUGCUUGCUGUUGGGGAUUUCUCUUUCCAUCUUCUGAGUUCAGGUUUGCAUUAAAUUUUUAUCUUGUAUUUUUAGGUGUUUUGGGGCAGGAAUGUUUCUGCAUUAUCAGCCCAGUCUGUCUCUAUGGGACCCUCUAAGAACACUGCAUUUAUUUUGCUUUUCUCAAUUUAUAUUUAAAACAGUUAAGACUACCUUAAGAAGUGAUUUUUUUUUUCUUUUUUUGAGACAGAGUCUCACUCUGUCACCCAGGCUGGAGUGCAGUGUCGCGAUUUCAGCUCACUGCAACCUCUGCCUUCCGGGUUCAAGUAGCUCUCCUGGCUCAGCCUCCCCAGUAGUUGGGAUUACUGGUGUGCACCACUACGCCUGGCUAAUUUUUGUAUUUUUAGUAGAGACGAGGUUUCACCAUGUUGGCCAGGCUGGUCUUGAAGUCCUGAUCUCAGGUGAUCCACCUGCCUUGGCCUCCCAAAGUGCUGGGAUUACAGGCAUGAGCCACAGCACCUGGCCAAAAAGUGAAAUUUCUGUGUUUAUUUUUUUCCAUUUUCUGGUUUCAUGAAACCUUGGCUUUCUGCAAAAUAUGGUUUUUUAGCCACUGUUUUAUUGUAUGGCUUUGAUAUCCAUAGUUAAGUGACUGCUCAGCAUGAGACCUUAGACCUAGAGUGAAUGGAGCAAACUCUAGAUGGCAGUCUCCUGGUGAGGUUUGCCAGCCUUUGGCGGAUCCAUACCUGAGGUAUCAGAUGUUACCUGCAUGGUAGGCACUGGGUGGUCACCCCCUAGGGUAGCUGAUAUGCCUGCCAAUGCACUUCUCCAAGCUGCUCAUUUGUGGAUUCAGAAAGCUAGAGAAGAAAAGGUGGUGGGGAAGAGCAGAUAGUCAGUCAUUCUGUAGAAAGAAGAGAGAACAUCUUUUUGCAUGCUUAUUGGCUGGUUGCAUUUCUUUUUCUUUUCACAUUAGAGGGAAUUACCUGAUAAUUUUUUUAUACUGUGAUACUGAGGAAAUAACUCUCACAGCCUGCUGGUAUGAGUAUAAAAUGGUAUAGCCAAUUUGACUCUAUCUGUCUUAAUCAGUUGGCUUCUGUUGUGUAAAAGGCCACUCCAAAACCUAGUAGUUUAGAGACAAUAAAUUCUUAUUAUUUCCUACACUUUUGGGAGUUGGCUGGGCAGUUCUUCUGGUCUUUGCUAGCGUAACUGAAGCUAGGUCAUAUAGGAUGGCUUCAUUCACCUGUCUGGGAGCAUUGGCAGGCCGGUUGGUUUGGGUGGGUCUCAGCUGGGACACCUUGGCUCUGCUCCAUGUGGGUUCUCACCAUCCAGUAGGCCAGCCCAGGCUUCUGCACACAGAAGCCAUUGUCAUCUCUCAUAUUCUGUUUUUUUUGUUUUGUUUUGUUUUGUUUUUUAAUGUCUGUGUUAGAGGGUCUCUUGCAGAUGUGACAUUGUAUAUUAGAUAUAUACAAGAAUGUUUAUUUCAGUGUUUUUGUUUGUUCAUUUGUUUUACAAUACAAGAAAAUUGGAAACUAUGUGAUAUGGUUUGGCUCUGUGUCCCCAUCCAAAUGUCAUCUCAAAUUGUAAUCCCCACAUGUCGGGAGAGUGGGCUGGUGGGAGGUGAUUGGAUCAUGGGGGAUUUCCCUCAUGGUGUUCUCGUGAUAGUGAGCGAGUUCUCAGAGGGUCUGAUGGUUUAAAAGUGAUGAAAGUGAUAAAAGGGUCUGAUGGUUUAAAAGCUGUUCUUAUGACAGUGAGUGAGUUCUCACAGGGUCUGAUGGUGUGGCAGUUCCCCUGUCGCUCUCUCUGUCUCUCCUGCUGCCUUGUGAAGACGUGCUUGCUUCCCCUUUCUGCCAUGAUUGUAAGUUUCCUGAAGCCUCACAGUCAUGCUUCCUGUAAAGCCUAUGGAACUGUGAGCCAAUUAGACUUCUUUUCUUCAUAAAUUACCCAGUCUCAGGUAGUUCUUUAUCACAGGGUAAAAAUGAACUAAGACACUAUGUGAUGUACAUUAAUUGGAUAGAGGUAACAAAAAAAUAGUGUGCUAUUGAAUACUACAAGGCAGUUAAAGAGACUGAAGAUUCAUGUAUAUGGUCCCAAAAAGACACAUUUUAAACAAAAAAAGCACCAAUUGCUGAACUGCACACACCUUAUACCUCCCAAUACACAUGGGAAAACUAAAUUCCUACAGAUACGUGUAAAUUAUGUCAUGCAUAUGCAAAACAAAAUGUUCAGAAAUAUACACACCAGAUUGAUAACAAUAGUUACCUUUGUAGAAAGGGUGAGACUAAGUGAUGGUUAAUAGGAAAUUUUGUUUCAAUUUUUGGGAUAUCAUUUGUAUUUUUUAUAAAAAUGAGUGCAUUUAUAAAUUGUUUAUUUCAAAAUGAAUGACAUUUAAUUUUAAACUUACAAAAAGGAAGAAUUUGGUAUGAUUCUCAUGCACUUGGUUCCUUGCCUCUGACUCACUGUGUUUGUGGCAUUGGAUUUAUGCAUUGAGACCGUCUCUCCUCUGCUUCUUCCUCACAGUCACAUGUGCUGCUUAGUUGGAGUGUUUCAAGCCUAGUAAACUAGAUCCGAGUAAGGAUAAACUUCUGAAAUUCACCCUCAUAAAAAUACAACACUUAUCCUAGUCAUUAUGGUGCCCAAAGAGCCAACUGGCAUAAUUCCUGUUUGUGUAGUUUCAAGGUCCUCUCUGCAAAUGCCAUGCAAAAUGUUAUGGUAUCAUUUUUCCUAAAUAAUUUCAACAUAGUCUAAAGUUAGUUGGUAAUUACUCUUGUGAGACAUUCAGAAUCUAGUGAAUUGUAAUUUGGAGGCUGACACAAAUACAGAUUAAAUUUUUGCUAUUUCCUGUUCAUUCUAGUCAGUAUCUUUAUCUUUUAAAAUUUUGGAUGUUUCUACAAUGUAGUAUAUAAGCUAGUCCACUGUCUGCAGGGACUGACUGACCACUUAAUUGUUAUCUCUCUGUCUAUACCAAUGUUUUGUGGUUCUGUGGGAAAGGAAUGAUGCCAGACCAAAUACCGAAGUUACCUCUUUGGCAUGCCCAUAUAACUUACAGAAAACAGAGCAAGACAUGCUUCUUUUUAUUGACCAAUGAGAAUAGAAACAAACAGAAAUAAGGAUAACAACUUGUAAACUACUUAUUUAAGAAACCACUGAAUAUUAGUGAUAAUUAUGUGAUAUUAUUUUCUCUUAUUGGUUCUUUAUAGUUGUGCCUAAUGAUAUGCUUGAAUAAAAUGUUGAUUUGUUGUUUUGGAGGGAAAAUUUAAAACUACCAUGAUAAAAUAAGUUUUAACUUUUUACACCUGGCUGGGUGUGGUGGCUCAUGCCUGCAGUCCCAGCACUUUGGGAAGCUGAGGCAGGAGGAUCAGUUAAGCCCAGGAAUUUGAGACCUGCCUGGGCAACAUAGUGAGACCCUGUCUAUACAAAAAAAUAAUUAAAAAAACAAAUUAGCUGGGUGUGGUGGUGUAUUCCUGUGGUCCCAGCUACUCAGGAGACCGAGGCAGGAGGAUCCCUGGAGCCCGGGAGGUUGAGGCUGCAGUGAGCCAGGAUAGCACCACUACACUGUAGCCUGGGCAACAGAGCAAGAGCCUGUCUCAAAAAAGAAAUAAAUGAAUAAAUAAGUAAAUAAAUAAAUAAAUAAAUAAAUAAAUAAAUAAAACUUUUGAAACUUACGAAAAUGUAGUUUUUUCAUGAAAGUUUGUCAGCUUGCAGGCUUUAGAAUUUUUUUUGCUCUUUUCCUUGUCUGCUCUGUUUUUCUUUUACCAUGUGUAAUAUAUGUAUAGUUUUACUUUAGAAAGCACACACACACACACACACACACACACCCCAUUAUUAAUCAAAUCCCUAAGGGGGAGGACCACUUUCCCACAAGGAUAAAACAGGUGUGCACUGUGCUUUUACACUCGUAUCAUAAUCUUACAUUUAUUUGGAGGGACUACCCAUCUCUGAGGAAAUGUUUGCCUCUUAGUUUUUUAGUUUGACAUCAUGGAACCAAUGGUAGUAAUUGGAUAUGGGUUUAUCUAUGAAUUUUGAGAUCACUAAGUCUUGCCAUAGGACUACAUAAAAUGUGGCUGCAGGCACAUGAGUGAUCUUCAUAACGUUUCUUGAUUCAGGGACGUGUGUGGCGGGAAGAGUUCUUAUUUAGAUUAUAAUUUUUAGAACAUCUUAUGUCCUUCAUGAGUGUUGGUGUACUAACUGGGUGAAAUAAUAUUGCAACCAAUGCAGGUGUAAAAUAUUUUUUGGUUAACAUUUAAGCCUUUCAUCCUUGUGGCCAAUGGAGUACACCAGGUAAAAUAACUGGUUAUAAGUCAGAGAAACUAUUAAAGCAUUUCACAAAUUAAUUACAAGAUGACUAUUACUUAUGGCAGAAGCUGAAAGCAAAGCAACUGGUCUGACAGAAACCAUUCUGGACAAGUAAAAUCAGGAUAGUAUAAUUUGUCAGAAUGUUUCCCAUAUGUCAGUGAAACAUUAAUAUAUACAUAAAACUUUCCUUAUCAACAAAUUCAUUUAUUUUUAAAUAUUUGGAUGUUCUAGUGAGACUUCUAUAAAUAUUUAGCUUUGGGUUCACCCAAUUUUCCUAAAAGUGAAUGAGAUUAUUCCAAAGCCACAUUUUAAAUCCAAAUAAAUGAAUACAGUUUAAGGUUUAUGUCAACUCUGUCUCUCAAAGUUUCAAUUAAUAGUGACAUGUUAGUUUCUGAGAGAAUAUUUAUUCCAAAAGGGCACAGUUUUUCAUUCAGCAAAGAUGAUUAUCUGCUUGAUUUUGGUAGAUAACAGGUUUUAUACUUAGAAGCCUGUUUUAUCCAAUAAUAUGGUGUUAAGAGUAUAGACUCAUACAUGUAGGGAAUAUUGAUUCUGCCUUUCUUCUUGGAACUCCUUUCAUUAUCGUAUAUACUGUAUUAUUGACACACUGCUACUUGUGUGUGAUGACUUCCAGCUUCCCUAAUUCCCCUCACUUCUAUUUACAUCCUCCUGGGUUGAUUUACAUGCAGCCCGGCUGUUAAUUAGCUUUGGGGAGUGGGGAAGGAGAUUUCUCUACAUCCCCUUGGUUGCAGCCUCACGAAAAGAUGGUCCUCAUAUCUGGGAAGAGCUUCCUCUUCUGCUUAUUACGUCCAGUAAACAGAGCCUGCCCCUUCCGUGACCAACUGCCAAGUUCACAGCUUCCAGUAAGGAAUUGAGCAAUUUGCCAAAUUAAUUUUCUUCCCUUCAAGGUAGCUCUCAGUGGGUAAUGCCUGUGUAGACACACUCUUAACUGGAUGGCUUCUUUAAAACAUGCUUUCCAAGAUGGACAAAGUUGAAGAUGAAAAAGGGUCCUCUUUCCUACCCCUUGGGACUGAUUUUUAAAAAUCAUGUUCUUGUGGUUACAUCAUGGAAAUGUUUUUUAAGAUCUUUGGCUAAUUUCGAAUUCAUCCAAAAGAAGAUGUCUUGAUUUGUUUAGCUUUGAGAGUGUUCAUCUGGUCACCUGAUUGGAACAAGGAAGACCACAGGUUGUGAAAAUGGUCUUUCAUGGGCAUUUCUGGAGGGAUUGGUUUUAGCAGCACCUAAGUGAUGUUAUCACCCAAGCCCUUUGAGUUUCCUGCCAUCUAGAAGGAGUACCCAUAGUUGUAGCACAGAGGCAUUCCUAGCCAAUUCUUUCUCCCCCCAGCAGAAGCCAUGGUGACUUUGUCUAGAAGUAAGUGUGGAGGAGGCGAGAUUUUGUGUCUACAUGAGCUUCCUGCACAGGUGAACACAUCCUCGUUGUUGGAAUCUCUCCAUGGCAGAUGCAGGAAUUUUUACUUAGACUUCCUUCCACACAGCACAUCAAUAAAUAUGGAAAUGAAGACUUCAAAUCUCACUUCUGAUGAAACAAUAUGCUGUCUAAAUUCAGUUAAUUGUAAGGUACUUAGUGUUGAAAGACAAAGAUAUGCUAAUCUUAUUAAAAUAUGCCUGGUGAAAUUCAGCUGUAAAUUCCAUUCAGGGACUCCUGCGUUCUACAUUGAUCCACGUCACAAUGUCUGGAAAGAAAACCACCCACCGUGCAGGAUGCAGAGUUAGUAAAUUAGAAAGGUGAAAAGUUUAAUGAAGAGUCUAUCUUCUGGAGAAGAAGUACAACAAGGCGGAAUGCUUAAUAUUUUUUUUUGUUUGUUUAGAUUAAACCAACUGAGAGCUCUUUACAUUGUUUACAUUUAUGUUACUCAGUAAGAAAAGCUUUUAACAUUUUCUCUGUUUCAUGUGAAUUGAAGUUGUUUUUAACUAUAUACGAGGGAGGGAAAGAGUCUUCACUAAAGAUGCAGCUCAAGCCUGUUUAGACAGACUCAACCAAUUUUUAAUUUUCUAGGGAGUUAAGGAGUGUGGCAUUUUGAAUUUGUGGUUAAGGGCCUGACUAGAGAUUUUGAUACCAAAGGUUUCGAUCCUGACAUCUUUUGUUCAUGUUGCUAUGUAACUUUGUGCAUUUUUUUUUCCAGGCAGGGUCUCACUCUUUCACCCAGGCUGGAGUGCAGUGGCAUGAUCAUGGCUCACUGCAGCCUCAAACUCUCAGGCUUUGAGCUUCUGAAGACCUUUGUUUCUUUAUAUGUAAUCUGGGGUAAACCCAUGUUGUAUUUUUAAAAGAACAUUUAUUUUUAUUUAUUCUUAUAGACUAAAAUAUCUAUUCUUUAUAGAAUAUUUAUAAGCAUUCAUAUAUAACAUUAUACAAUUUCAAUAAAUAUAUAUAUAUUUAUUUACACACACACACACCCCCCCCACAAUCGUUCAUAAUCCAGCCACUCAGAGAUAACCUCUAUUCCAUUUAUGUUGGACUCCCAGCCACUUAGCCAUCCAUCCGUGCACAUCUGUACAUGUGCAUGAAUCUAACCACCCAUUAAUGAAGACUAGAUUACACAGCACCUAUUUUUUUUUAUAACCUGGUAUAUCCAAUUAAUAUAUGGUGAGUAUCUUCCCACAUUAUUAUAUAUUCUUCCAUAUAAUGGCAAUAAUUUUAUUUUUGAAAAAUCCCCCAUAAUUUAUUGAACCAGGACCAUAUUGUUAGGCAUUUGGUUUGUUCUCUUUUUGUUAGUCAUUGUAAACAAUGCUGCAGCGAAAUCUCUAUGUGUUAUAUCCUUAGGCACAUCUGUGAUUAUUUGCUUAGUCUGAUUUAAACUGGUUGUGAUAACGUGUUUUAAAGAAGUGUGUAUAUAUCUCAUUAUGGAUUAGUGUUUAUGGCACUGUAAUAAAGAUACUUCCAAUACAA